AUUUACGUAGUUUAAUAAAAACAUUUUACUUUCAUUAAAAAGAUGGUUAUACAACCUUUAAAUU
rnacentral:tRNA from 1 species